rnacentral:rRNA from 1 species
AUUGAACGCUGGCGGCAUGCUUUACACAUGCAAGUCGAACGGUAACAGGUUAAGCUGACGAGUGGCGAACGGGUGAGUAAUGCAUCGGAACGUGCCCGAUCGUGGGGGAUAACGCAGCGAAAGCUGCGCUAAUACCGCAUACGAUCUGAGGAUGAAAGCGGGGGACCGUAAGGCCUCGCGCGAUCGGAGCGGCCGAUGUCAGAUUAGGUAGUUGGUGGGGUAAAGGCUCACCAAGCCAACGAUCUGUAGCUGGUCUGAGAGGACGACCAGCCACACUGGGACUGAGACACGGCCCAGACUCCUACGGGAGGCAGCAGUGGGGAAUUUUGGACAAUGGGCGCAAGCCUGAUCCAGCCAUGCCGCGUGCGGGAAGAAGGCCUUCGGGUUGUAAACCGCUUUUGUCAGGGAAGAAAUCUUCUGGGCUAAUACCCUGGGAGGAUGACGGUACCUGAAGAAUAAGCACCGGCUAACUACGUGCCAGCAGCCGCUGUAA